GAUGAACGCUGGCGGCGUGCCUAAUACAUGCAAGUCGAGCGAACAGACGAGGAGCUUGCUCCUCUGACGUUAGCGGCGGACGGGUGAGUAACACGUGGAUAACCUACCUAUAAGACUGGGAUAACUUCGGGAAACCGGAGCUAAUACCGGAUAAUAUAUUUAACCUCAUGGUUCAAUAGUGAAAGACGGUUUUGCUGUCACUUAUAGCUAGCUCCGCGCCGCAUUAGCUAGUUGGUACGGUAACGGCUUACCAAGGCCACGAUGCGUAGCCGACCUGCGAGGGUGAACGGCCACACUGGAACUGAGACACGGUCCAGACUCCUACGGGAGGCAGCAGUAGGGAAUCUUCCGCAAUGGGCGAAAGCCUGACGGAGCAACGCCGCGUGAGUGAUGAAGGGCUUCGGAUCGUAAAACUCUGUUAUUAGGGAAGAACAAAUGUGUAAGUAACUAUGCACUUCUUGACGGUACCUAAUCAGAAAGCCACGGCUAACUACGUG
rnacentral:rRNA from 1 species